rnacentral:rRNA from 1 species
CCUACGGGAGACAGCAGUGAGGAAUAUUGGUCAAUGGACGAGAGUCUGAACCAGCCAUGUCGCGUGAAGGAUGACUGCCCUAUGGGUUGUAAACUUCUUUUAUAUGGGAAUAAAAUGUUCCACGUGUGGGAUUUUGUAUGUACCAUAUGAAUAAGGAUCGGCUAACUCCGUGCCAGCAGCCGCGGUAAUACGGAGGAUCCGAGCGUUAUCCGGAUUUAUUGGGUUUAAAGGGAGCGUAGGUGGUGUGUUAAGUCAUUUGUGAAAGUUUGCGGCUCAACCGUAAAAUUGCAUUUGAAACUGGCAGUCUUGAGUACAGUAGAGGUGGGCGGAAUUCGUGGUGUAGCGGUGAAAUGCUUAGAUAUCACGAAGAACUCCGAUUGCGAAGGCAGUUCACUGGACUGCAACUGACACUGAGGCUCGAAAGUGUGGGUAGCAAACAGGAUUAGAUACCCUAGUAGUC